rnacentral:rRNA from 1 species
UACCUUUUGGUUCGGAACAACACAGGGAAACUUGUGCUAAUACCGGAUAAGCCCUUACGGGGAAAGAUUUAUCGCCGAAAGAUUGGCCCGCGUCUGAUUAGCUAGUUGGUGAGGUAAUGGCUUACCAAGGCGACGAUCAGUAGCUGGUCUGAGAGGAUGAUCAGCCACAUUGGGACUGAGACACGGCCCAAACUCCUACGGGAGGCAGCAGUGGGGAAUAUUGGACAAUGGGCGCAAGCCUGAUCCAGCCAUGCCGCGUGAGUGAUGAAGGCCCUAGGGUUGUAAAGCUCUUUUGUGCGGGAAGAUAAUGACGGUACCGCAAGAAUAAGCCCCGGCUAACUUCGUGCCAGCAGCCGCGGUAAUACGAAGGGGGCUAGCGUUGCUCGGAAUCACUGGGCGUAAAGGGUGCGUAGGCGGGU